AUGCUCACUUCAGUAGCACAUGCACUGAGACUGGAACCAUACAGAGAAGCCUGGCAUGGCUCCUGCACAAGGAUGGCUCAUAAACUUGUGAAACGUUCCAUAUUUUU
rnacentral:snRNA from 1 species